GUUUGCAUUUCCCGGUUAUCCUGUGUUGCUGACCAGACGCCGUCUUUAUGUUGGAAAAUAUAGGGCUAAUGGUGACGUCUAGUUGUUCCAAAACCUCUCUGCACCCUCUUCCAAGUAUACUGACAGAAGCUCCCGUAUCUAAAAGACCCCUCAUUAGGAUCCCUUGGACCUCUACCUCAGCGAAUAAUCUUGGGUCAGAGCUACUAUUGAAUUUCUUUACCGACUCUAUAACCAUAUUCAUCUCUUUUUGCCUAUCUUUAAAUUUUUGACGCACUUUUUUGAUUUUUGAUUCCUUUUCUUUAGGCACCUCACUGCUCCCCAUUAUCCUUGCUCGUACUUUUCUAUAAUUUUCCUUGCGGACCUCUAUUGGAAUAUAAUGUCUCAUUUCAGGGUUGAUUAAAUCUUCAUUAACUUUAUAUAUUUGAUCUAAUAGGGAUUUUGGCCCCCUUCUAAGUUGAUUUUGAACAUUUAGCAUUGCUCUUAGGGGUUUGCAGUUGGACGUGGCCCCCCCGUUUUGUCCACGCCCCUGUUUCGGUUUCCCUGCUGACAGAUUUCACACUGUGGGGUUUUAGUCUUAGGUUUGCCGCAUUUGUAACAAAACAGUAACAUGACCGUCGUUUCGCAUUCCCGAAAAGUAUGGCCAGAUUGCUGACAGUUCCAACAACUGAUCCUUGGAUAACAUUGCCUUCCAGAUUGAAUCGCAGCAACUUCUUCGAAUCCAUCCCUAUCCUGGACGAGAAGAUUGUGAUGUAGGAUCUAUUUUCUCUCCGAAGGAAGGUUUUUUCAGGUACGUUGCAUUCUAUGCGGAGCUGCUCUACUGAAGAUACCUGAAUUGGAUACAUAAUGCGGCUUACGCUUUCCGUUAUGUUCUUUUUCAUUAUUUUUAUUAUGUCAAACUCUGACAAAGGUUGAACCUAUUUCGCCCUCAUCUGCCCCAUGACAUGGAAGAACGUAUCAAUGGACUCGUUUGGUUGAUGCUUUCUUUGGGCCAACUCUGCUAUCAAUUCAACAUUGGUUUUAGAAGAGGAAUAUUGACUCAUUAAACUAAGUUUAAGUUCCUCCCAAUCAUGGAAUUUGUUGGUUUUUU
rnacentral:sRNA from 1 species